rnacentral:rRNA from 1 species
GAUAGCUUGCUAUUUUUAUGAAGAGCGGCGAACGGGUGAGUAACGCGUGGGAAAUCUGCCGAGUAGCGGGGGACAACGUUUGGAAACGAACGCUAAUACCGCAUAACAAUGAGAAUCGCAUGAUUCUUAUUUAAAAGAAGCAAUUGCUUCACUACUUGAUGAUCCCGCGUUGUAUUAGCUAGUUGGUAGUGUAAAGGACUACCAAGGCGAUGAUACAUAGCCGACCUGAGAGGGUGAUCGGCCACACUGGGACUGAGACACGGCCCAGACUCCUACGGGAGGCAGCAGUAGGGAAUCUUCGGCAAUGGGGGCAACCCUGACCGAGCAACGCCGCGUGAGUGAAGAAGGUUUUCGGAUCGUAAAACUCUGUUGUUAGAGAAGAACGUUAAGUAGAGUGGAAAAUUACUUAAGUGACGGUAUCUAACCAGAAAGGGACGGCUAACUACGUGCCAGCAGCCGCGGUAAUACGUAGGUCCCAAGCGUUGUCCGGAUUUAUUGGGCGUAAAGCGAGCGCAGGUGGUUUCUUAAGUCUGAUGUAAAAGGCAGUGGCUCAACCAUUGUGUGCAUUGGAAACUGGGAGACUUGAGUGCAGGAGAGGAGAGUGGAAUUCCAUGG